GCGGCACAUUGCAAGGCCACAACGCUGGAGACAGACACACGCUUGAUGCUGGUUGCUGGAUGCGGAAUGCCUGGCUAAAGAGACCUUUCAUGGAAACCUCCUGACUUCCAUGCUAACCACCUUGUGAUCACCCCAAGUGGGACCUGCGGUAGAGGACUGUGAUUUGCAGAUCCCUGAGCGCAGCACUGGGAACUGUAAGACUACCCACAUGACAAUGCCUGGAGAACACCUUAUCCCUUGUCGCCCACCAUUCUGGAAGGGAGAACUUGCACACCAAGAACUUGGCAGCCAGCUGGGAGAAUCAAGGUCCACCAGUUUGGACAAUCCCAGGAACUGCACAGACAAGAGGCAGCAGGCUGGGAGUACAUCUGUCCGGAGACAGCUCUGAGGUAGAGCCGGAGCUGCAACCAACCACCCUGUGAAAGGAGCUGCCUCCCUGUAAGAUGUCAAGGCCAGAGUUAAGCCCCCUCCCACCACUUGGUA